CUAAGCUCCUAAGAUCUCAUCUCCCAUGUCAAGGUUGAAAUUCUCUCCGGGAGACAGUCAUGCCUCACUGCCUUCCAGUGACCAGGAUGAAAGAUGCACCCAUGAAUUAUAUAUUUCAAGUCAUCUCUAAAUUGCCUGGCAAUUACAGAACAGCAAGGUCAGCUGCCGGGAGCAAGAACCUCCCUUUUUGUUUUUCAGAUGCUGGUCACCAUAGAUGCUGGUCACCACCACGCCCUUUUAUA
rnacentral:lncRNA from 1 species